CCGCCAUGAGACUACAGAGCUGCAUGGCUCAGUGGUCAAAGGAGCAAUCCGCUGAAAGAUGGACUCGCGUCCGAUUAGAUAGUAGGCGGGGUAACGGCCCACCUAGUCGACGAUCGGUAGCCGGACUGAGAGGUUGAACGGCCACAUUGGGACUGAGACACGGUCCAAACUCCUACGGGAGGCAGCAUG
rnacentral:rRNA from 1 species